UAUCUCUGUAGAGUCUGCAUAUCAAUAAGCGGAGGAAAAGAAACUAACUAGGAUUCCCUCAGUAACGGCGAGUGAAGCGGGAAGAGCUCAAAUUUGAAAUCUUCAAGGUUCUACCUUGACGAAUUGUAGUUUAAAGAAGUGUUUUCUGUUGGAGUUUUGGUAAAAGUUCUUCGGAAUAGGACAUCAUAGAGGGUGAGAAUCCCGUAUUUGACCAUUAUUUCCAGCUUUGUGAUACACUUUCAAAGAGUCGGAUUGUUUGGGAAUGCAGUCCAAAAUGGGUGGUAAAUUUCAUCUAAAGCUAAAUACUGGCGAGAGACCGAUAGCGAACAAGUACCGUGAGGGAAAGAUGAAAAGAACUUUGAAAAGAGAGUUAAACAGUACGUGAAAUUGUCAAAAGGGAAGCGUUUGACACCAGUGUUGUUUUCUCGAAAAUCAAUUAAAAAAGGCAGGAUUUUGUAUUGUAAUUGACCUUUAUCAGCUUUACUGCUACUCUUUUCUUGUCUUUUUUUAAUGCACUUUUCGUUUAACAAGUCAACAUCAAUUUCUUUUGUUGUAAAAGGGUCAUUGGAAGGUGGCUUUCUUUUCGGAGAAAGUGUUUAUAGCCUUUGGCCUCUGCAAUCGGAGAGAUUGAGGUCUGCAGCGUAGAUCCUUCGGGGUUAGAUACAUUUGUGCUAAGUUAUAGCCUUUCAUAGACAACUUGUUGACUAUGAUCAGUCAUGUAGCUUACUCGCUUAUGCUAUUUUACCUACGCUUAGGAUGUUGAUAGUCACAGCGUGUAC
rnacentral:rRNA from 1 species